rnacentral:lncRNA from 1 species
AAUUUUCUCCGUUAAAUUGUUAACGUGACCGUUAAAAACCACGUUAGUAUUCUAACAGAGGAAAUUAACGGAAAGACUAUUUGGAAGGAAAAUUAUAACUUUAAGGACCAUUUAGAUUAAAAUGAAACCAUAAGGACUGAACAUAUGUCAACUUCAAAUUACAUGAACCAGACAAAUUUCAAUUCUAAAAAAAACAAGUAAAUCGAGAUGGAUAUCCAACUUAAAUUCGAAGCGAUCGCAACGAGUCUGUAAAGUAGAUAGAGAUGGAUAUUCAAAGAGUUCAUGGACUUGAGGGAGAUAACUAGCUAAUAAAUGAAGUAGGAGGACGAAGAGAUAAUGCAUGGAUAGCUUUGAGGGGAAAAAGACGAGAAAAUGUGAAUAGGCUAGAUACCCGAGUUACCGAGUACCUAACUGGCAGUCGACUCUUAAUAGUGAUGCAAAUUAAACCAAUAAGUAGCCUUCAACCAAUACUGCAAUUAACUUGAUUAGGUUAAUUGUGCAAGCUACUUGAAUCAGUUGAGUUUGAAAAUUUUCUCGAUCUAUAUAUAUAGUCUAUAGAUCGAUGAAUGGGUAUCGUAAAAUUUCCUAUCAAGUGUUCAUUAGCUAGCUUUCCUUUCUAUUCUAUUAUGCUUUUCUUUUCUUUUUUCUGGCAAACAAAAGUUUUAUUAAAUAAAAUAGGUAGUACAUGUGUGUGUGGUUAGGGGGUGGUGGGUGGGGGUGGGAAGGGACUUGAAACCAAAACCCUUUAGAAACAAACAACAAAAUAAAAGGCAGCCAAAACAUAAGAACGAUCAGAACUGAUUGCAUCAUAGAUCAAGACGCCCCAUGAGCAUCCGAUUACGGUCAGGCACUACCAGAAGAAAAGCUUUAGCCGACGAAAAAAAAAACCAGGCCGACGAAGCAUUUUUUCGUCGGCUAAAGUGGACUUUAGCCGACGAAAUUAUCUUUCGUCGGCUAAGUUAAAUUUUCGUCGGCUAUGGUAAACUUUAGCCGACGAAAAAAAAAUUUCGUCGGCUAAAGNNN